CCGGGGCACGAACCCGUGUCCCCUGCAUUGGCAGGUGGACUCUCAGCCACUGCGCCACCAGGGAAGCCCUAGAAGUGAGGCUUUUAAGGCAGAGAGAAUGUGUAUCUCUAACUUUGAUAGCUAUUCCUCACUGUGAGAGAUGGUGUGGAUGUACAAUCCUAUUUAGCCAUGAUGAGGGUGCCUGUUCCUCCUCACCUUUGUCAGCCAAAUGCAUUGUCAAACUUUUUCAUCUUUGCCAAUCUGGUAAUGAUAAAAUGUCUUUGGUUUAAAUUGUCUUUCCACUGUAAUUAGUGAUGUUGAAUAUCUUUCUUUAAUUUAAAAUUUAUAUUUAAAAAUUUAAAAAUCUUUUUAUUUUUAAAGGUAAAAUAUAUUUCCUUUUUUGUGAACUAUCUAAUCAUGUACUUGGCCUCCUUGUUUCCAGGUACUUUUUGAUAAUGCUGUAAAUGUUAUUGGUCCAUCAGGCCGAAUUCCUCAGAAGCACUCUACUGACUCGUCUGAGCCAAACGUCUUCUGAUUGCAAGUCUCAGAAAUUCAUUAAAACCAGCCAAUGCAGAAAGGGGGAUUUUCUAGAAUCUGAGUGGAGCUGGGCCACAAGGCCUACCUUUGGGACCAAGGUGGUUGUCCUUUCUGUUAUUCUCUUGGCUGUGCAGCUGUUUAACUCUUGUUUCUGUGGACCAGCUUUAUCUCUGUUUCUUGUUGCACAUGGUAGGAAAUGGUUGUCUAGCUCCAAAUUCCAGGAGAGAGAAUAUCAUUGGCCCCUUGUGGGUCCGGUGUCUCCCACUGGGCCAGUCAACUGUUUGGUGCCAGCCUAUGGGGAGAUGCAGUGAAGGAGCUCAGGGUGUCCUCUUCUUGGGUCUUAACUGAAGGCUCCGAGCCUUUCACCGUGUUCUCAGUUAGGAUUAUUCCUUCUAAGCAUGGUACUUUGAACCCUUGCCAGGUUGGAUUGUUUACUUAGAGGGGGGCCAUCCUCCUUGUCAGUGCUGUCUCGAUGAGAUGCUGUCAACAGAGGGACAGUUACUCUCUUCACCUCUUCCAGACUAUGUGGUUAGUCUUCACAACAGUGGUCUGAACUCAUGUAGCUCUGGGGGUAGGAAAACUCCAUGGAGUACCCAGGCAAGGAUAAUUUUAAGGGAAUCAAUUUUUAGGUCCUCAACUUCUGUUAUAUUUCUAAAGUUGAGCUGUCUGAGAACACGCCUAGCAUAAGGGGUCUCUUAUCACCUUUUCCAUUCUGCAAAAGGAAAGCAAACCCUCACCCAUUCUAGUCAGGACCAUAGUGUGUUGCCCUGCUCUCUGGGGUGCCAUGGGGAUAAUUCUAAAUAUAAAUGUUGAGAAUAUGAGUCUAAAGACUAGGGAAUAAUCCUUUUAUAAGUUACAAGUUUUCUGAGUCUACUUUUAACAAAAUUGGAGGAACCAAUUGAGUUGUCAGUUGAUCAUUAAAAAUAAUUUUGAUAACAGAUCACUGCAUGACUUUGGUGUAUAACUCGGGAGUUCAAGGAAUUCAGAGAUGUUGCUAUUACAGAACUUCCAUUGCCAUCUAUUUAUUUAUGAGAACAAGGUGUCUCAGGGCUUAAUAUCUAUAAAAAUGAAAAACAGGAAUGGAAUUGGUGCUGAAACUGUCUUAACAGUAAGCAAGAUUCAUCCCUGGAAACAUGAACCUUCUUACUCUAUCAGGAUGCAUUUCUAGUGAAAUUUUGCUCAUUUAAUAAUGAUCAGUAUUUAUAUUCUGUUGUUUCAAAAUAUGUGCUAAUAGCAGUCAUAAUCAUGCAAUCCAGAGUAAAAUAUUUUUGAACACUUAGAGCUUAUGAGGUCACAGGAUAUUUGAUAUGUUACAGGGAAUUAUAAGUAUGGUCAAUAAGAGACUUUCAAGCCUAAAAAUGUGUUACAUUAGGGUAAAAUGUGGGGGGUAAAAUUCUAGAUGGAGGAGAGUAAUGGAGCUACCAGUUCAAGAAGAAAUUUCUGACUUAAAUAGACAUUUGUAUUUUUAACUAGAUGAAGGUAGGUGUCUAAUUGUGAUGGUAUUUACAGUCCACUGGAUACAUUUAUAAGACUGACUUAAUAGUUUACGCCAUUAUUUACAAUACACCAGAAACUGUCUUUGCAACUAUUUAAAAUUAUAAUGAAAAACUUUAGAUGUUAAGCUUACAUAAUACAAAGGGGAAUACAUAGAUUUUCAAAAUCCUUUUAGGGUAAACAAGAGCAAGAAAGGUUGAAAUGGCAGCUUUAUACUUUUCCUUUCAAAGAAGUGCCCGUUUACCCCUUCUCUGUUUUCUCUCUCAGCCAGAGUCCCUUUCUGGGUCCAACAAGCUUUCCCUCUCCUUCCUGGCCUCUCAUAUCCUGUGACUCCAGUGUGAAGCUGUCAGUGGCCUGGUGAGGGUGGGAUUGACUGUUACAGCACUGGCUGGCUUUCUUUGGUUUAUAUACUUUUCCUCUCCGUUAUGUGUGUGGCCCUGGGCUGGCUUCUCAGGCUUGUCUGACGUUGAGGUUCCUAAUGCCCAAGUCUUCUAUCGGGCUUUUCUUAUGGCUGGAAGCUGUGCAAACCUUUCACUUUCUGGCCUGUUGAUACUCAGUAGCUAGAGGUUAUACCAGGGACAAUAAUGAUUGACUGCUUAGAAAUUCUGAUACUGUCUGGUUCCAGUGAUUUAAUACAUUUAUUUGACAUUUUGACUGCACGUAUCCUGGAUUGGAGCACUCUUUAAUCUAGCACCAAAUACUGCCCGCGUCGGGGUUGAGAAGUGGGACCCUGUCCUUAGUGCUCCUCUUGUCAGAUUCAGUGGCUGUCAACCUUGGUCAUCCAGGGCUGCCUCUGACCCACAGUCAGUCAUUAAGGAGUUCCACUAAUCUGCUUCUUCCAGAUAUUUAAUUAGCGUGCCAAAGCCUGGGACCCCAAGAUGAAUCAGAUACUUUGAUUUGUAAGCAAACACUGUGAUUAUAUUUAAGGAAACUGUUAUAAGAAUUAUUUUUAGGUCCUUUUCAGGUUGUCUCUCAAUCGCUUAGGGUUGGUAAACCACAUGGUCAAGAAACUCUGUUAUGAAGGAAUUCUGUUAUCCUUCACCUGUCCUGAUUUGGGAGCUCCAUAAGACUGGUGGGGUUUGGUUGCUUGAGGACAGGUUGCCCCCCUGGCUGGGUGCAGGUAGAGGAAGCCUGGCUGUGGCUUCUGUUCCGGGACCCAUGUUGCACCUUGGCUUCGUGGGUCGGCCCCAUAGUUGGGAGCAUCAGCUGACCCUGGCUCUCAUUACAUGAACAGAGCAACUGGGGUGGCCCAGCCACCUCCUGGCGGAAGAUUAGAGGGGAUGGGUCAUUUGCACUUGCAUAAGCUCGAAUCAAGAAUCCUGACCUUUGUGUGGCGUGGGGGUGCUGUGCUGCUGCAGGAUGGGUUGGGAUGGCCAGAUUGAGAUGAGAUGCUGUUUGCUCAGGGUCCGGAGUCUGUUAGAGCUCUUUUCUAAGGAAGCUGCUGCAAACUAAUGGAAACAGGGCAGGCGGGGUGGCUGGAAUAUCAUUCUUUAGAUACUUCUUUUUUUUUCUUGAGUUCUGUCACAGCCCUCCUAGGACAUCAUGGCUGGACCUUGUCCAUUGACACUGAGCUUUGUCAUGGUCACAUGGUUGUACCUCAGGGCCCAAGCAUAGGUCUUUCAGACUGUCCAGCGUGUACUAGCCAGAUUGGAAUCCUUGCCUACUCCAAAUAGCAUUAUGAUGGGAGUCGGCUGAAGUGCCCUAGGCUGUAAGAAGUGGUGGGGUUGCCUCCCAGUUGGCAGGGAAAGUUUUAGAAAGAAGCAGAAGAAGCUCACUGCGAAAGGGCCUCGAUAUGGCUAUAAACUGUAACUGACAAAAUUAGGGACCUGGGUUUUCAAAGGCAGAAAAGGAGAGGCUGGUACUGGGGCCGGGUGGUGGUGGUGGGGGCGGUGGUGGGGAGGAGUGCUGUAAGGGAAGUCGUCUCGGAAAUAAGGGUGUUUCCUGAGGGCACCUCGCCAGGCAGGAAGACCACGCCCUGGCUUUUCACACGUUUGCGCACUCUGAGCCAGAGGGACAGACAGGCGGUGGGGGGCAGGUAGGCAAGGGUAGAGAGGAGGUGCCUGCACCGGGCCUGCUGGCCCCAGGGUCCGCUUCAGGCUGUGGCUGUACCGGGCUUAUGCUGAAGGUGUUGAGAGAUUAGAGCCUGAGCCCAGGACUUUGGGAGACGUCCAAGGAAGGAGGCAGCCUGGUUGCUCAGCUCAGCCUGGGCCCCUCCCCUCAGGGAAGUCCUAGCAGGAGUUACAGAAGUGCCUUGCCACUGGAGAGGGUGGGGGAAGAAGGAUGUAAGAUGCUCUAGAAUUGGUUAAUACCUGUCAGGCUCCAAGCCCAUCUUCCACUCCCCGACACCUCCCCUGCUUAGGCCACAAAACCUUGUGAGAUAGCAGAUUAAUUUGAAAAUUGAGCUGCAGCUGGAUGAGUUGAUGUCAACUUCAGAGUUCAGUUGUGUUUAAUUAAAGCCAUCCAGAGACUAAACCUGCUCCCAGGAAAUUAUUCUGACCGAAUAAUUAAAAGAGAAUAAAGGUUAGAUUUGUGUUUCUGGCUAAGUCUCUAUUGCAUUCGGCAUCUACAAAACAUGAAUUCCAUUAACCUUUUGUGAACCAACAUUAAAUUGCUUUCAGUUAGUUGUCAUUCUAAUUAAAGUAGAGUCACACAGAAGAGCCUUUGUUUAUACUUGGUGUCUGUUCCCUUUUCUUCUCUGGAAUUAUGUCCUUGAAGAAACGGUCAUUUGGAAAAUCGGUUCAUAACUUUAUGUGUCUGCCCAUCCCUCCCUUAGUCGGGGUCCUGUUCACUGAGCAUCAGAAGGAAUUGCACCAGGGGAAGUAGGCUGCAGCUGCAGAGGACGGCUGGGGACUUACCUGUACCUUGUCAUGCAGCAUAUUUUCCUGCAUGAUUGUGGAUGUGAGGUGUUAUGAACAAGAGUCUCUAAGCCAACCCAGGAUUUCUCAAGAUGGAUCACUCACUCCAGGCCCCCAGAACUCAGGAGGCAGGGAGAGGAGAUCUGCUUUCUUCAGCUUCAGGUCCGGACAGAGGUCUCCAAGUCAGCCCGACCCAGUGUUGGCUGAAUGGGCAUCACUGUGCUGAGAUGGGCUCCAGAGUACGCUUUGACUCUUCCCAGGAUGCACUAUGGCUUGGUGGAACAUCAGGAAUGAAACGGGAUGACCAGAGAAUGUCGUUCUCCUCGUGUAAGUGGAAGAGGCUCCAGCUUUCCAAGUUACAACACACGAAGUCCUGGCGUGGCAGUUAUCUGGGUAAGUGAACGCAGGCCUGUUCCUGAACCUCUCCAGCCCGCCCCUUGCCCACAGGGCAACACACCCCUUGUCAUUGCGAGCUGGGGUGUCUGGGGGUGCACUGGCCACACGGGGACUCCUCCAGCAACAGCUCUGCUCCGCUCCACCCAAGUCCUGAACACAUGCUCUUCAGCCCCGUCUCCUUUGUCCUAAAAACAUGUCCUUGUCCUAAACUCUCAUUGUAGUUCCACCUUUAAGCUAGAAACCUAGUUCCUUAUAGAAGUUACACUAACAAACACCUCAAUAUGUCCAAGAUCUAAUUCAUCAUUAUUUCCCCAUAGAGGUUCCUUUUUUGGAUCUCCUUUUUUAUUAAGAAGAAAAAUCAUAUUGUUUAGUGGGUUGGUUCUGGUGUCUGUCAGCUGUUUUGUCUCUGAAUUCUUGAAAGAGGAAUUCCUGCCCCAAGACAGCAUCUCACAGGUUAGUAUAUGCGAGUGGCUGUGAACAUAUAUUCAUAGUUAACAAGGAUGAAUAAGAUGAUGAUGAAAACCCCAUCAUUUCCAUGACUGUAAAACUGGGAAUGUAUGGGAUACUCUUAGUCUAAUGCUUCAUAAAGAAAAAUUUGUAGCAGCUAAUUUAUGGUUGCGGUGUACAGAGGAUGUAUCACUAAGCAACACGGGAGAGAUGGCGAAAGCGGGACGCUGAGUUCAAGGGCUUCUGGCAGGCUACACCGGGGAGGCAGGCAGUGGAGGCGGGUCAGGCAGGUAACCAGGAUCACCAGGAUUACCUAACAAACACUGGAGAGAGUGUAGACAUGAAAUAAAUUAAAACAAAGCUAUUCCCUAUUAAAUGGAAGCAUAAAUGAGAAGUAAUUUCCUCUAACAUUAUGAGAUGGAGUCUGUCACUCCAGAAUAGCUGUAUCCAUAGCAGUGGCAGUGGUCAGCUGAUAAAUGUGUCCUUCUGAACUGUCAUGUCUUCUGAUGAUUGGACAGUCACGGAAACUAGCAGCAUAAAUGAAAAAAGACUCAAGACACAUUUGGAGAGACAAAUGAAACAUUUUAUUUUUUAAUCUUCAAAAUCUUCUGCCAUAAGACAGGAAUGCAUGAUAGAAAUGGCUCAACAUCUUCACAUGAAACACUUGGAUUCAUUUUCAUUCACAAGUUUUUCUAAAAACAUCUACAAUUUCAUAAUCCCACCCACUUCCAACCAUUAUCACAGAUUUAGUUGACUGUUAAACAGUAGUCGCCAGCAGUAGAGCUGGAACGCUUUCUGCGUAUUAGUAGUGUCUUUGGAAACUACCACCCAAGAUAUCACGAAUAUAAAUUUCAUGGUACACAGCAACCCCAAAGGUGACUGAUGUCCCCAAAUAAACUCCCUGCUUAUCAUGGAGAGUGGUAUCCCCCGGGUACUUAACGAAAUGCUUUUUCUUCUCCUAGAAUUACUUGUUCAUCUCAUAGUAUUUUUCUUGCAGGGUAUAUAGCACAUGCUGACCUGAUGAUUCAGUCACCAUAGCUAAUAGGCAAAUAUAUAUGCCUGAUACUACUGCUGCUCUCUGAUAAUUAUGUACAAACAUACUGAAAAAUGAUGGGUUGCUUGGAGUCUACCUCCCUUCUUCUGAAGAGAACUACUUUGAGGUUUUUUUUUUUUUGAACAGUUGUAAACAAAAGGAAA